rnacentral:misc_RNA from 1 species
GAUGAAGAACGCAGCGAAAUGCGAUAAGUAGUGUGAAUUGCAGAAUUCAGUGAAUCAUCGAAUCUUUGAACGCACAUUGCGCCCCUUGGUAUUCCAUGGGGCAUGCCUGUUCGAGCGUCAUUUGUACCUUCAAGCUUUGCUUGGUGUUGGGUGUUUGUCUCGCCUUUGCGUGUAGACUCGCCUUAAAAUAAUUGGCAGCCGGCGUAUUGAUUUCGGAGCGCAGUACAUCUCGCGCUUUGCACUCAUAACGACAGCGCCCAAAAGUACAUUUUACACUCUUGACCUCGGAUCAGGUAGGGAUACCCGCUGAACUUAAGCAUAUCAAUAAGCGGAGGA